rnacentral:rRNA from 1 species
CGCCUUGCCAGCCCGCUCAGAAACUUAAAGGAAUUGACGGGGCCCGGCACAAGCGGUGGAGCAUGUGGUUUAAUUCGAUGAUACGCGAGGAACCUUACCUGGGCUCAAAUGUAUGUUGACGUAUUCUGAAAGGGAUACUUCUUCGGACAAUAUACAAGGUGCUGCAUGGUUGUCGUCAGCUCGUGCCGUGAGGUGCCGGGUUAAGUCCCAUAACGAGCGCAACCCCUACCUUUAGUUGCCAUCAGGUAAUGCUGGGGACUCUAAAGGAACUGCCUACGCAAGUAGUGAGGAAGGCGGGGAUGACGUCAAAUCAGCACGGCCCUUACGUCCAGGGCUACACACGUGCUACAAUGGCCGAUACAGAGGGCAGCUACCUGGUGACAGGAUGCAAAUCUCCAAAGUCGGUCUCAGUUCGGAUCGGAGUCUGCAACCCGACUCCGUGAAGUUGGAUUCGCUAGUAAUCGCGCAUCAGCCAUGGCGCGGUGAAUACGUUCCCGGGCCUU